GAAAUUGUCGAAGGAAGAUGUACGAGAAUUAAUUUACCGAGAGAUAUUGGAGUAUCAUCCCCAAAUGCUUCAGGAAUACCUGAAUGGUGCAGAUCAAACUAGCUUCCUGUACCCAAGUGGAGUUGAUCGUUUCAAACGACAGUUUGCUCAUUUGGAGGAGCAUUAUGGUAAAAGCGGUGAGAGAAGCACUCCUCCACUUCAGAGACAACAUGCGUCUUUA